CCUCAACAAAACUCAUUGCUUACCAAGUUGGACUUUGGUGGCAUCCAUACUUUGAUUUGUCCGUGGUUUCCUGUCUAAGAAAAUGAAGCUGUGUUGGAAGCUGGCUGAGGAGGCAGGCUAUGCACCUUGGCUGCUGCGGACAUGCAAACAGAGGCCGCCUAGUGAUUUACAGCUGCUGUCCAAGAGGGCUUUUCCAAACACCAGCUCAGCCCAGCGCAUGGCUCCAUGAUGAACAUGCAAGCCACCACCCCGCACAUGGGUUGCUGCUGGGGAUCCUUCAUCACUGGGGCAACACCGAUGCUGAUGAGAACCACAGCCAGACAUGGCCUCACACCACCGUCAGAACCGCUGUCAUCAAAAAGAAAGAGGACGCAUGAGCGCUGUGAGGACACACAUGAAAGGGAACCCAUGGGUACUGCGAGCACAUGUGAACAGUGGAAUCAGUGUGGAAAACAGCAUAGAAGUACUUCAAAGUCUGAACCAGAACUACUGUACGAUCCAACCACCUCACUUCUGGGUCUUCAUCUAAAGGGAAGGAAGCUGAUCCGUGAAAAAAGACAAACUUUCUCACCAGGCUCUUUGUGGCGCUAGUUACAGUACUCAGGACGUGGAACCAACUGAGCGACCAUCAGCAGACAGAAGGGCCAAUAAAGCGUGGUGAUGCU